rnacentral:lncRNA from 1 species
GCUUUGUAUAGCGCUCUGGAGCAGUAUUGGAGAGGUUUAGUGUGUGUUAAGGACGCUGUGCUUUGGCAUUAUUAAGACAGUCUCGUUCACACACUGUCACGUACACACACUCUCAAGUGGCCAAGACUGCAAGUGUGGGUAUCUGGACAGGGUCAAAGUCUUAAAAAUGAUCCCUAAACACAUCACAGUCUUAAUAAUCCAGUUUAACACUUGUAUGAUAUUGUACAAGCCCCAGGACGAUCUCAUCUGACAAUAUCAAAAGAAUUCAUAUGACUAUAGCUUGCUAUUAAUUACUUGCUUUCAAUAAUGGAUGCAUUUAACAUUUAAUUAUACAGCAUCUUUACAGAGGUGUAAUGUACAAGUUGCACGUAAUUAAUAAUAUUUCCUUCUUUCUGUCUUACAGGAUUUUUUGCAGAUAAUCCUAAUGCUGUUCUUCUUUUUCAGGUCUAAAAUAUCAAGCUCAACAACUCACUCAAGAGCCAACCCUCACAAACCUUCCUAAAAACUAAAAGAGCUAUUACUGAGUCUCAGCGAAUCUUGCCAUGAUCAGCUCUUCCCAGAAGAGAAGGAAGACCAAGGAUAUGAUUUGCUCAGGAUGAGGAAUGAAGAUGGCCAUCUUGAGCUCAAACAAACAGAAGUCCUCUGAUGAUCUCAUCAGCCAAAUGAGGGGUUUUGACCAAGUGAUGCUCUUGAAAGGAGUGAAAGAAGAGGAUGUGGUAAAUUGUCUUCAGAGAAAAGCUUCUCAAAAGAUCUUAAAACAGCUUGAAGAAUGGUCUGGGAUCUUAGGACUGAGAGAUCAUCUGGCUGAGAACAAGCUACACCUCAUCAGUGCUGGACAUCAACCACAAACUGUUUCCAGACACGAGAGAAGAAGAUCACGAUGGGAGAUGAAACCAGUUUAGAUGUGAUGAUGGGAAUCAUUAUUUUCUGAAACAGUAUCACAUGUCUUAUAUGUAUCACAUGAUCUGUAUCACAGUUGACUGGAUGGGACUGUGUGACUUUUAAGGACAUUUCAUCACUCAUCUGUGUGAACUGAUUUAUAUAUGAGGUUUAAUGUAUCUUUGAUGAUAAUUAUUUUCAUUGAAUC